rnacentral:rRNA from 1 species
UACGGAGGGUGCAAGCGUUAUCCGGAUUCACUGGGUUUAAAGGGUGCGUAGGCGGGCAGGUAAGUCAGUGGUGAAAUCUUCGAGCUUAACUCGGGAACUGCCGUUGAUACUAUCUGUCUUGAAUAACGUUGAGGUGAGCGGAAUAUGUCAUGUAGCGGUGAAAUGCUUAGAUAUGACAUAGAACACCGAUUGCGAAGGCAGCUCAUUAAGCGCUCAUUGACGCUGAGGCACGAAAGCGUGGGGAGCAAACAGG